rnacentral:rRNA from 1 species
UUGGGCAGUGGAGACAUUGUCCUUCAGUUAGGCUGGCCCCAGAACAGGUGCUGCAUGGCUGUCGUCAGCUCGUGUCGUGAGAUGUUGGGUUAAGUCCCGCAACGAGCGCAACCCUCGCCCUUAGUUGCCAGCAUUUAGUUGGGCACUCUAAGGGGACUGCCGGUGAUAAGCCGAGAGGAAGGUGGGGAUGACGUCAAGUCCUCAUGGCCCUUACGGGCUGGGCUACACACGUGCUACAAUGGUGGUGACAGUGGGCAGCGAGACAGCGAUGUCGAGCUAAUCUCCAAAAGCCAUCUCAGUUCGGAUUGCACUCUGCAACUCGAGUGCAUGAAGUUGGAAUCGCUAGUAAUCGCAGAUCAGC